rnacentral:rRNA from 1 species
AGCCUAUACAGGUGUUGCAUGGCUGCGUCAGCUCGUGUCGUGAGAUGUUCGGUUAAGUCCGCUAACGAGCGCAACCCUCGUCGUAUGUUAUAUGUGUCAUACGAGACUGCCGGUAAAAAGCCGGAGGAAGGUGAGGAUGAUGUCAAGUCAGCAUGACCUUUAUAUCCAGGGCUACACACACGCUACAAUGGUCUGUACAAUGGGUAGCCAAGCCGCGAGGCGGAGCCAAUCCUGAAAGCAGGCCUCAGUUCAGAUUGCAGUCUGCAACUCGACUGCAUGAAGCCGGAGUUGCUAGUAACCGCAGGUCAGCAAUACUGCGGUGAAUACGUUCCCGGGUCUU